UCCACAGAGCCGGGACCGAGCGAGCCGGCGAGCGACCGCGGUAAAGGUAUCGCGCCUUAGUCAGAGGCCACCAAUGUUGGGUUACAUUUUGUAGUAAAGUACCUUAUGAUCAUCUUUUGUAUUUGAUGAUUAGUGAUGUAAAGAAAGAAUGUAAAGCUCAUUUUGAGGUAAAUGUGAUGUAAGAAAGAAAUGAUGUAAUGAAUGUAAGAAUUCGAUAAAUUACUAGAUGAAUGCAGUGUAUAUGAUCUAAAGUGAAUCAUAUUACUUGUGAAUGUUUAGUUUCCUUUUUCUUUC
rnacentral:lncRNA from 1 species